GGGGCAGUGCCCAGGAGCCCCGGCCGGAGUGGGAUCUGCCCAAGCAGCUGGCCCAGCACAGGCCCACCUUCAUCAAUGCCAGCAGCUUCAAAUUCUGAGCGUUCCAGAAAGCCAAGAUCCUCCUGUCCUGCAAUCACAGCUACCAGGCCUCACCACCCUUCUUCUCUCUCGGUGUGCUGCAGGCCCACCGGGUCCUGGUGCAGCUCAAGGUCUCUCUCUUCAGCAAUUUCUCUGCUGGGUGCCUGGAGGAGGGAACCAGGGAUUUCUCCCUCUAUCGGCCCUGCGAAAACCAGAGACGCAUCUUCUACUUCCCUCCAAACCAGAAGAACCCACGGGACCCUCGCCCCUGCUGGUGGGGAGUGCGAGGGUCUUAUGGCUCAGCAGCAGAGAGCCCCUUUGGGAAGGUUCCCUCGGGGAAGGCUGGAAAUCAGGGUCCCCGUCACCAGAAUAAAGUCCUCCGGAAGGAC